GCGGUGAGUGUUACAGCUCUAUUAGAAGCCGUGGGUCACAGAAGAGAACCGUGGAACCUAGAGACCAGUGUUCAGCUCGAUUGGGACGAACCUGGGCACUUAGCCGUGCAGAAACAAUGGCGAGCCUUUAGCCGGAUCGGGAGCAGUAAUGGGUGCCUCCAUGGACAGCGGACACCCUGCCGGAUCCAGAGGGGUGGAAGUCAGCGGCGGGUCUGCGAUGUGGGCAAACAACAGUGGUGGACAGGAGCUUGACAUAGGUGGUGCAUGAAGUGUCUCAAGAGGAAGCAGAGAAUAAGAUCUCAGUUACACAGUCUGGGCAAGAAUACAAGAAAAUCACCCAAAAAACUGCGACCAUCAGAGGAGCCUCCAUGUUAGAGUCUCUGGGCCUCUGUCUCUUCAGAAUCCACCCUGGAAACAGUGUGCAUCAAAACACUUUGGAGUUCUUAGAGGCACUUGGAAUUAUCUGCUGGCUUCCCACCUUUAAAGAGACUGGGCUAGUUAAAUAUCCCCCUCUGUUCAUUUUUUUAAAUUUGAGUUUGUCAGUUCACAAUACCAGAAGAUCUGAAAGAAAAAUAAAAACAAAACCCAGAACCUCUUUGGGCUUCUCAGGCAAUAGAGAAAGACUUCCACGUACUCAGAAGACCAUCGUCAGUUAACAAAAGCCAGUCUUGUCAUCCUGUGUAGCUCUGCACUGCUUUAUCCAGGCGGUGGAAAAAGCUUUGAGUGUGAGUGGCCAGAAUCAAGUGGUGUUCUCUCACUUCAUCACGUUUGGCACAUUUUCUCUCUGGACAAAUCCAGUGGACAUUUUGCAGACCUGCUAAUCUCAGGAAGACUGAAGUUUUUAGAAGAUCGCUCUUCAUAUUUAGGGGGAUUCUGUUGUUGGAGCCACAAGGACCCUUAAGAAAAAUACUUGGAGCCAGCUGGUCCCUGCCAUCAUUGAAACCCAAAG